GUGCUCAAGUGUGGAACAGCUGACAUCUGAGAUAUCGGAGGAAAUCUUUGAGGUUCAGCUCAGUGAAAAAGGGCAGCACAAGGUGACAUGAAGAAACCAGAGCAGUGGGAUUCUGGAGAGACUAUCUUCUUGAGACAAAGGAACGACAAGCAGGGCUCUCUCUCCAGGACAUCCUGAUGUUUGCCAAAGGUUUGAAGACACUGCCUGCGUCCGUUCGCAAUCAAAAUACCGAUGUCCAAAACUCAGUUUAAUGGGACUUAAUGCGGCAGUUGGUCGGUGUUCGUGUCAGUUAAACGACCACUGAGCCCAAAGGUUUUUGUCUGAUUGCCUCCAGAGAUCCACUCUAACACCAGCACGAGUGUACCUCCAAGCUGGUGUCGUUAUUUUUCUGCUGGAGUGAAAAUUGUGGACAGGAGCACAAGUUGAGUUUUUCAAAAUUUUUUGGAGCUCCUCCCCACUCUUUCAUUCGGCUCCUCCAUUCUUGCUGUCUAGCUUUUAACUGAAUAAUGAAAAAAGUUGUUAAUUUGACUUUAAAAUUACAAUAUGUAACUUUUGUUUGUACAUAAAAUUAAUAAAUUGUGACACACUA